rnacentral:rRNA from 1 species
CGCGUUGUAGUCGAAGGGCAUUGAAAGGCCCGGCACAGAGGGUGCUACCCCCGUAGACGAAACGAUGCGCACUCCAGAGAAGUAUCCCAAGUAGCACGGGGCCCGAGAAAUCCCGUGUGAAUCUGGCGGGACCACCCGCUAAGCCUAAAUAUUCCCUGGUGACCGAUAGCGGACAAGUACCGUGAGGGAAAGGUGAAAAGUACCCCGGGAGGGGAGUGAAAUAGAUCCUGAAACCGUGUGCCUACAAUCCGUCGGAGCCUCCUUGUGGGGUGACGGCGUGCCUUUUGAAGAAUGAGCCUGCGAGUUAGUGCUCAGUGGCGAGGUUAACCCGUGUGGGGAAGCCGUAGCGAAAGCGAGUCCGAAUAGGGCGUUUUAGUCGCUGGGUCUAGACCCGAAGCGGAGUGAUCUACCCAUGGCCAGGUUGAAGCGACGGUAAGACGUCGUGGAGGACCGAACCCACUUAGGUUGAAAACUGAGGGGAUGAGCUGUGGGUAGGGGUGAAAGGCCAAUCAAACUCCGUGAUAGCUGGUUCUCCCCGAAAUGCAUUUAGGUGCAGCGUCACGUGUUUCUUACCGGAGGUAGAGCUACUGGAUAGCUGAUGGGCCUCACCAGGUUACUGACGUUAGCCAAACUCCGAAUGCCGGUAAGUGAGAGCGUGGCAGUGAGACUGCGGGGGAUAAGCUCCGUAGUCGAGAGGGAAACAGCCCAGACCACCAUCUAAGGUCCCUAAGCGUGUGCUAAGUGGGAAAGGAUGUGGAGUUGCAUUGACAACCAGGAGGUUGGCUUAGAAGCAGCCACCCUUUAAAGAGUGCGUAAUAGCUCACUGGUCAAGUGAUUCCGCGCCGACAAUGUAGCGGGGCUCAAGCACACCACCGAAGCUGUGGCAUUGACACACUGCUCGGCCAGUUUUCCUGCGGGGUUCUGGUCCAGGCGUGUUGAUGGGUAGGGGAGCGUCGUGUGGCCAGGGAAGCGGCGGAGUGAUCCAGCCGUGGAGGCCACACGAGUGAGAAUGCAGGCAUGAGUAGCGAAUGACGGGCGAGAAACCCGUCCGCCGAAUAACCAAGGGUUCCAGGGUCAAGCUAAUCUGCCCUGGGUAAGUCGGGACCUAAGGCGAGGCCGACAGGCGUAGUCGAUGGACAUCCGGUUGAUAUUCCGGAACCGGCGAAGAACCGCCCAUGACGAACCUAGUGAUGCUAAACGCCCAAAGCUGUUGUCCAAGACCUUCGGGUUGAGGGUUUCAGUGGAGCGCGUGACCCGAUCUAGUAGUAGUCAAGCGAUGGAGAGACGCAGGAAGGUAGCCUCCGCGUGGCGAUGGUAGUCCACGUCCAAGGGUGUAGGGCGAGCUGUAGGCAAAUCCGCAGCUCACAUAGCCUGAGACCUGAUAGUGACCGCGUAUGCGGGAAGCAGGGUGAUCCUAUGCUGCCAAGAAAAUCUUCUAGCGAGGUUCGAGCCGCCCGUACCCCAAACCGACUCAGGUGGUUAGGUAGAGAAUACCAAGGCGAUCGAGUGAAUCGUGGUUAAGGAAUUCGGCAAAAUACCCCCGUAACUUCGGGAGAAGGGGGGCCCAGAGGGUGAAGGCACUUGCUGCCUAGCCUGAACGG